GACAGAGGGUGCAAACGUUGUUCGGAAUUACUGGGCGUAAAGCGCGUGUAGGCGGCCACUGCAAGUCGGGUGUGAAAGCCCUGGGCUCAACCUAGGAAGUGCACUCGAAACUGCGGGGCUUGAAGUCUGGAGAGGAAGGCGGAAUUCUCGGUGUAGAGGUGAAAUUCGUAGAUAUCGAGAGGAACACCGGUGGCGAAGGCGGCCUUCUGGACAGCACUUGACGCUGAGACGCGAAAGCGUGGGGAGCAAACAGG
rnacentral:rRNA from 1 species